GACGAACGCGGGCGGUGUGCUUAAUACAUGCAAGUCGAACGCGUUGGCCCGAUUGAUUGAUGGUGCUUGCACCUGAUUGAUUUUGGUCGCCAACGAGUGGCGGACGGGUGAGUAACACGUAGGUAACCUGCCCAGAAGCGGGGGACAACAUUUGGAAACAGAUGCUAAUACCGCAUAACAACGUUGUUCGCAUGAACAACGCUUAAAAGAUGGCUUCUCGCUAUCACUUCUGGAUGGACCUGCGGUGCAUUAGCUUGUUGGUGGGGUAACGGCCUACCAAGGCGAUGAUGCAUAGCCGAGUUGAGAGACUGAUCGGCCACAAUGGGACUGAGACACGGCCCAUACUCCUACGGGAGGCAGCAGUAGGGAAUCUUCCACAAUGGGCGCAAGCCUGAUGGAUCAACACCGCGUGAGUGAAGAAGGGUUUCGGCUCGUAAAGCUCUGUUGUUAAAGGAAAACACGUAUGAGAUUU
rnacentral:rRNA from 2 species